GAUGAAGAACGCAGCGAAAUGCGAUACUUGGUGUGAAUUGCAGAAUCCCGUGAACCAUCGAGUCUUUGAACGCAAGUUGCGCCCGAAGCCAUCAGGUUGAGGGCACGUCUGCCUGGGCGUCACAUAUCGUUGCCCAAUGCCUAUUGCAGUGCAAUAGGAAUUUCUAGGGCGAAUGAUGGCUUCCCGUGAGCGUUGUUGCCUCGCGGUUGGUUGAAAAUCGAGUCCUUGGUAGGGUGUGCCAUGGUAGAUGGUGGUCGAGUUAGAACGAUACCGAUCAUGUGCAUGCUCCCCAAAAUAUGGCCUCUAUGACCCACACGCGUCUUUUGACGCUCAUGACGAGACCUCAGGUCAGGCGGGGCUACCCGCUGAAUUUAAGCAUAUCAAAGCGGAGGA
rnacentral:misc_RNA from 1 species